rnacentral:rRNA from 1 species
CUUGGUGUCCAUAGAGAAGAGGGUAUACCCGAUCCCAUUCCGAACUCGGUAGUCAAGCUCUUCAUCGCCCAUGAUACUGCAUACUCUUGUGUGGGAAAGUAGGACGACGCCAAGG